GUUAUAUGGUCAAGUGAAGAAGCGCAUACGGUGGAUGCCUUGGCAGUCAGAGGCGAUGAAAGACGUGGUAGCCUGCGAAAAGCUUCGGGGAGUCGGCAAACAGACUUUGAUCCGGAGAUGUCUGAAUGGGGGAACCCAGCCAUCAUAAGAUGGUUAUCUUGUACUGAAUACAUAGGUGCAAGAGGCGAACCAGGGGAACUGAAACAUCUAAGUACCCUGAGGAAAAGAAAUCAACCGAGAUUCCCUUAGUAGUGGCGAGCGAACGGGGACUAGCCCUUAAGUGGCUUUGAGAUUAGCGGAACGCUCUGGAAAGUGCGGCCAUAGUGGGUGAUAGCCCUGUACGCGAAAAUCUCUUAGUCAUGAAAUCGAGUAGGACGGAGCACGAGAAACUUUGUCUGAAUAUGGGGGGACCAUCCUCCAAGGCUAAAUACUACUGACUGACCGAUAGUGAACUAGUACCGUGAGGGAAAGGCGAAAAGAACCCC
rnacentral:rRNA from 1 species